AACGGUCUAUACCUGCGGUACCUGCGGAAGGAUCAUUAGUGAACGCCCUCACGGGCUUAUAACUAUUCCAAACCUCUGUGAACCGUGCCCUUCGGGGCUAUUUUACAAACAUGGUGUAAUGAACGUCAUAUAUCAUAACAAAACAAAACUUUUAGCAAUGGAUCUCU
rnacentral:misc_RNA from 1 species